rnacentral:rRNA from 1 species
AUUGAACGCUGGCGGCAGGCCUAACACAUGCCAGUCGAACGGUAACAGGAAACAGCUUGCUGUUUCGCUGACGAGUGGCGGACGGGUGAGUAAUGUCUGGGAAACUGCCUGAUGGAGGGGGAUAACUACUGGAAACGGUAGCUAAUACCGCAUACGUCGCAAGACCAAAGAGGGGGACCUUCGGGCCUCUUGCCAUCGGAUGUGCCCAGAUGGGAUUAGCUAGUAGGUGGGGUAACGGCUCACCUAGGCGACGAUCCCUAGCUGGUCUGAGAGGAUGACCAGCCACACUGGAACUGAGACACGGUCCAGACUCCUACGGGAGGCAGCAGUGGGGAAUAUUGCACAAUGGGCGCAAGCCUGAUGCAGCCAUGCCGCGUGUAUGAAGAAGGCCUUCGGGUUGUAAAGUACUUUCAGCGGGGAGGAAGGGAGUAAAGUUAAUACCUUUACUCAUUGACGUUACCCGCAGAAGAAGCACCGGCUAACUCCGUG